rnacentral:rRNA from 1 species
AUUGAACGCUGGCGGCAUGCCUUACACAUGCAAGUCGAACGGCAGCACGGGAGCAAUCCUGGUGGCGAGUGGCGAACGGGUGAGUAAUAUAUCGGAACGUGCCCAGUCGUGGGGAUAACGUAGCGAAGCUACGCUAAUACCGCAUACGAUCUAUGGAUGAAAGCGGGGGAUCGCAAGACCUCGCGCGAUUGGAGCGGCCGAUAUCAGAUUAGGUAGUUGGUGAGGUAAAGGCUCACCAAGCCGACGAUCUGUAGCUGGUCUGAGAGGACGACCAGCCACACUGGGACUGAGACACGGCCCC